rnacentral:tRNA from 1 species
GUGGUUGUGGCUCAGCGGUAGAGCACUCACCUAGCAUGUGGGAGGCCCUGGGUUCGAUCCUUAGCAUCACA